AUCCAGUUGGCGAGUCCCAAAUAGGACGAAAUGCGCAUCCUGGAC
rnacentral:hammerhead_ribozyme from 1 species